rnacentral:rRNA from 1 species
AGUGAACGCUGGCGGUAGGCCUAACACAUGCAAGUCGAACGGCAGCACAGUAAGAGCUUGCUCUUACGGGUGGCGAGUGGCGGGCGGGUGAGGAAUACAUCGGAAUCUACUUUUUCGUGGGGGAUAACGUAGGGAAACUUACGCUAAUACCGCAUACGACCUACGGGUGAAAGCAGGGGAUCUUCGGACCUUGCGCGAUUGAAUGAGCCGAUGUCGGAUUAGCUAGUUGGCGGGGUAAAGGCCCACCAAGGCGACGAUCCGUAGCUGGUCUGAGAGGAUGAUCAGCCACACUGGAACUGAGACACGGUCCAGACUCCUACGGGAGGCAGCAGUGGGGAAUAUUGGACAAUGGGCGCAAGCCUGAUCCAGCCAUACCGCGUGGGUGAAGAAGGCCUUCGGGUUGUAAAGCCCUUUUGUUGGGAAAGAAAAGCAGCAGGUUAAUACCCCGCUGUUCUGACGGUACCCAAAGAAUAAGCACCGGCUAACUUCG